UUCUUCUAAAGCAUUAUCUCAUCUUCGCAAUUUUAUUCUUCUUCUUAUUUGUAAUGUGAUGGAAGUUAUAGGUAUGUUUGGUAUAGAAGUUAUUUUUAGUCCUAAAAGUGAACUGCUAGUUAAAACUUUCAGAUUUUAUAAAUUGUUUAUGUGUGAUAUAAAGUGGAAGUAUAGUCUCCUUCAUGUGGUUGUUGUUCUUGUUUGCUUAGCUUAUUGUGUGGAAGUUUUUCCCUGUAUUUGUAACAUUUACCUAGACUGUUGAUCUCUUAGUUAAAAUUGAUAAGUUGGUUAUGAAAUCACCGGUUCUUGAGAUGUCCUUUUUUUUUUAUUUACCUCCCAUAACGUCAUUUAAUCCCUUUAAUUGAUGCAUGUAGUGGUGAUAAUUUUGUAUGUUAAAUGGAAUAUUGGGUUUGCUACUUGAGUUUAGAUUGAUCCUUGGAAGAUUGCUCUUUUCCUUGUUGUGAAUAUAUUAUAAAAUACUCCUUGAAUCAUUGUUUUCUUCCUUUAAUAUAAUUAUUUUUAUCCUUGCCUAAUAUUGAUUAAUUGAUACUAAGGUGAUUUUUAUAGUAUUGUGUUAAUCCGAACAAAUUUCGUGUCUCUUCGUAAGGUAAUAUUUCCUUAUUAUUUUAUUUAGUAAUGCUAAUUGAUCAUAAUUGGCGUAAUUGGAAUUUAGUUGAUUCUUACUUGUUAUAUUUUACUAAAAUUAUAUUUGAUUGAGCAAAAUAACUUAAAAUAAUAUUACUUAUUUGGUGAAUAGGGAAAAAUAUCUAAUUGAUCGUUCUUGCCAUAUAUAAUCCUUGAUUGUUGAUGUCACAAUUUAGGCUUCAUUAUUUUGGUGUUGAACUUAGAGUUUAAGAUGUCGAAGAGUCUCCUAGAAGAGAAUUCCAGACGGAGCUAUUUUACUUAUUUUAAUGUUGUAUAUUUUAUUCAUUUGUUCUUUAUUUUGGCUUGUAAUAUUGUGUAUAACUCUAACACUAUCUCUAUAUGAUAUAACUUGGGGGAUCGUCUAAGGGGAGGGGAUUUACGUGCUACUUGUUUAUAUUUUAUUAUUAUUCAAAUGUGUUAGAACAUAUGCUUGCAGGAUUAUAAUUGUUUGAUUAUUCGUGUUUAACUUUCUUCAUUUAAAAUCCGGCUUAAGGUAAAAUAAAAAUAAAAAUAAAAAUAUAAAUUACAUACCCUUAAUCACCUUUUGGCUAAAUACUCUAAAAUGAAUCACGUGUUUAAUCGGUUUAUUGUCUUUGUAGUUUAUUUAUUUGCCCCGUAUGACCACUUUUAAUUAUGACAAGAUAAAAUUGUGUAUAUGUUUACUACUGUAUUUUGUUAUAAAUCACCAGCUCUCCUUUCACUAAAAAAUAGGGAAAGUGAUUAAAUAAUUGCCUAGUUACUAAUAUGCUUUGUCUUAAAAAUUUACUUUAAACAUCUUGCCUAUAGGAUUUCACUUCAAACAUAUUACUUGAUGUAGUAAUUGCAAGUUGUAUAUUAUCUAGACAUUACGGCUAUAGUUUUAAAAUCAUGUUGAUAAAAGAGUGAUUUUAAUCUGUUAAGUUCCUUGUUAAUUCACUCUUUAAUAUGGAUAAUUGCUAACUUUUGCAUGUCUUAAUCAGAUGCCAACAAUUAUAAUAUCUCUUCAAUUAAUUAAUCCUAGUAACUGUUUUGCUAAUUAUUACAAUUCAGCGGUAAAUAAUUUUAGCUAACACUUAGAAAUUAUGCAUAUAGGACAUAAUUAAUAAGUUGAGAUGUCAAUCAGUAUAUUAUUAAAGAAAAGGAGUAAAAUUAUGUGUUAAAAUUAUAAUCUGCUCCCUAGAUCGAAUCUGGCUCAAGUCAAUUAGGUUCCAAUCUGUUGUGCUAUUGAAAAUGCUAAUAACUCAUUCUGAUCUGCUACUAUUCUAAAAUAUUUCUUCUGCUACUUUAAACACUCGCUUGCUCAAAUUACAUACUGUUAAUAAAAAAAUAUUUUUGCAUUUUUGAAUAACUCUGGCCACUCAAACUCAAUCUAAAAUUUGCUUCCUAUUAAUUAUUUACCACCUUUUUUAAAAUCAGUAAUAAUAAUUAUAUGCAUGUUGUUUAAACUGUUUGUUUAAUAUUGCUUAUUCCAUUCACUUCUCCUGUUCUAAUGAGUGUGGUCUGUUUGUAUGUCACACACUUAGCAUGAAACCCUUUCACUAUUAUAUGUGUUUGCUAGCAUGUUAAUUAAAAUCUAGAGGCCAAUAUGAGACCCUACGUGCUAAAUGCUCGUCUAAAUUGUUUGACUUGGUGUCUAGGUGGGCCUAUUAUAUUUUAUUUUGUCUAAAUUCACCCUAAUAGCAGUCCAAUGCCUCUUGGACCUUACGUGGGGACGCUAGACA